rnacentral:ncRNA from 1 species
AGUCAAGUAAUUAAGUGCAUGUGGUGGAUGCCUUGGCAGUCAGAGGCGAUGAAAGACGUAAUAGCCUGCGAUAAGCUCCGGGGAGGCGGCAAAUAUCCUGUGAUCCGGAGAUUUCUGAAUGGGGAAACCCACCUGUCAUAAGGCAGG